GAUUUAAGUUUGAUCAUGGCUCAGACGAANCGCGUACGGCAGGCUUAACACAUGCAAGUCGAGCGGAGAGAGGUAGCUUGCUACUGAUCUUAGCGGCGGACGGGUGAGUAAUGCUUAGGAAUCUGCCUAUUAGUGGGGGACAACAUUUCGAAAGGAAUGCUAAUACCGCAUACGUCCUACGGGUGAAAGCAGGGGGAUCUUCGGACCUUGCGCUAAUAGAUGAGCCUAAGUCGGAUUAGCUAGUUGGUGGGGUAAAGGCCUACCAAGGCGACGAUCUGUAGCGGGUCUGAGAGGAUGAUCCGCCACACUGGGACUGAGACACGGCCCAGACUCCUACGGGAGGCAGCAGUGGGGAAUAUUGGACAAUGGGCGCAAGCCUGAUCCAGCCAUGCCGCGUGUGUGAAGAAGGCCUUAUGGUUGUAAAGCACUUUAAGCGAGGAGGAGGCUACUUUAGUUAAUACCUAGAGAUAGUGGACGUUACUCGCAUGGAAUAAGGCACCGGCUAACUCUGUGCCAAGCAAGACGCGGUAAUACACAGACGAGGUGCAAGCGUUAAUCGGAUUUUAACUGGGCCGUNAAAGCGCGCUAAGGCGGGUAAUUAGGUUCCCAUUGNUUGAA
rnacentral:rRNA from 1 species